rnacentral:lncRNA from 1 species
GAUCUUGGGGAGUGGAUGUAGGUGCAAGGUUAGCACCGAACCACUAUAAAUCCUUGUGUUUGUGGUGUGCUUUAUCGCUUCACUUUAUUUCUUUAUUAUAAUCUUGCAUUCCUGCUUUAGGUAAUUAAUAUUGAAUUAAAAUCUUUGUUUUGUUCUUCAUAAGUAAUCUGUUGGGCUUAAAAUUUUUUAGAAACCCAAUUCACCCCCCC